UACGAAGGGGGCUAGCGUUGUUCGGAAUUACUGGGCGUAAAGCGCGCGUAGGCGGAUCGCUAAGUCAGGGGUGAAAUCCCAGGGCUCAACCCUGGAACUGCCUUUGAUACUGACGAUCUGGAGAUCGGGAGAGGUUGGUGGAAUUCCGAGUGUAGAGGUGAAAUUCGUAGAUAUUCGGAGGAACACCAGAAGCGAAGGCGGCCAACUGGCCCGAUACUGACGCUGAGGUGCGAAAGCGUGGGGAGCAAACAGG
rnacentral:rRNA from 1 species